CCGUUAUCUCGCAUUUUGGGGGCGCGUCCAAGUCCUUCUUGAACGGGGCCACAGCCCAUAGAGGGUGCCAGGCCCGUAGUGACCGCUCCUAUUUGCGAGAGGAUCUCUCCUCAGAGUCGGGUUGCUUGAAAGUGCAGCCCUAAGUGGGUGGUAAACUCCAUCUAAGGCUAAAUAUUACCACGAGACCGAUAGCGAACAAGUACCGUGAGGGAAAGUUGAAAAGUACUCUGAAGAGAGAGUUCAAUAGUACGUGAAACCGUUUAGGGGUAAACCUGAGAAACCCGAAAGGUCGAACGGGGAGAUUCAGCGUGUCUCGAUUAUGGCACUGUGACAGUUGUGCGACGAGCUUUUCACAUACACAUCUCUUCAUUGAGGUUGUUGUGGUGGUUUGCGUCAGCAGUUCAGUUGACCUAGUUGAACGCGUGCACUUCUCCCCCAGUAGGACGUUGCGAUUCGUUGGGUGUCGGUCUAAGGCCCAUGGUGGAGCUCGUUUACUUGGCUUGCCCAUGUUGAACGGACCCAUGGUGCUUCCCGACCGACACGCUCGACGAUAUACAGAAUGGCGCAAGGCCGCUACAUAUUUAGUUAGCGUUUGACCUACGGCAAGCGCGCUUGUUGUGUUGGUGAUCGGACCUGGUGCCGGUCCUGACCACUUGUGGCUGUUAGCUGUAGUGUUCUCAAACAGACCUUGAUGAAACGCCGAUCUGCAACGCUAUAGC
rnacentral:rRNA from 1 species